GACGAACGCUGGCGGCGUGCUUAACACAUGCAAGUCGAACGGAAAGGCCCUGCUUUUGUGGGGUGCUCGAGUGGCGAACGGGUGAGUAACACGUGAGUAACCUGCCCUUGACUUUGGGAUAACUUCAGGAAACUGGGGCUAAUACCGGAUAGGAGCUCCUGCUGCAUGGUGGGGGUUGGAAAGUUUCGGCGGUUGGGGAUGGACUCGCGGCUUAUCAGCUUGUUGGUGGGGUAGUGGCUUACCCAGGCUUUGACGGGUAGCCGGCCUGGGAGGGUGACCGGCCACAUUGGGACUGAGAUACGGCCCAGACUCCUACGGGAGGCAGCAGUGGGGAAUAUUGCACAAUGGGCGGAAGCCUGAUGCAGCAACGCCGCAUGCGGGAUGACGGCCUUCGGGUUGUAAACCGCUUUCGCCUGUGACGAAGCGUGAGUGACGGUAAUGGGUAAAGAAGCACCGGCUAACUACGUG
rnacentral:rRNA from 1 species